AAAAACUGAAAGUAAAAGCAAAAUUUGCUUGGCGACCAUAGCAUUAUGGACCCACCUGAUUCCAUGCCGAACUCAGAAGUGAAACACAAUAGCGCCGAUGGUAGUGUGGGGCUUCCCCAUGUGAGAGUAGGACAUCGCCAGGC
rnacentral:rRNA from 1 species